rnacentral:sRNA from 1 species
UGUUUGGGUGAGUUCUUCGUUCAUAGUUGCGCUCCUCCCGACUUCGAUUCCCCGUUCGAACACAAACCCAAACCUUUUCAUCUCCUUCCCCAAAUCAACACGAUCAUCCAUUAAUUUUAAUUCGCGCCCAAGUCCUUAGAACGCUCGAACCCAAUUUGGGUUCGAUAUUCCCGCCGACUUUCAAAGGUUUUCCGGUGGCGGCUGGCCCUGCAACCAAAACUAUUUGACUCAGACAAUCCCAACAACAACAUGUGAGCUUUGCAUGCUCGAAUCUACCCGUCGAUCAAAGAUUUCCAUAAGUCCACCUUGCGGUGGGUUUUUUCGACGAGGAUCGGAAUCUUUUUCGGCCAAUUUCAGGCCUUUGAGACCUUUUUUGGGUCCAGCCAAGGAUGAUCAUGAAUGAAUGGUACUCUUCUGCAAUGGCGGGAUUUGUUAUCUGUGGGGCAACUGAUUGGUUGAGUUAUUUCGAAGCGUUUUUCAUAGAAAUUGAUUUAUGCUGGACAUAGUUGCAUGAUUCAUAAUGAUUAGGCUUGAAACAGAUUCUGUAAAUCAAUUUUGGUGGAGGAGUUGUUCCGUAGCCUGAGGAAGAACAUAGCAAUGUUUUUGAAACAAGGUCUGGCCGAAAUUUUUCUAUAAAAUUUCACAAUUUUUGAGUUUUAAGCCAUUCAAAUUGGUUUGUUAAGUAGGAAUAAAAAUACCAAUUAAUUAAAGAUUAGUAAUUUUCUCAAGAACUAAUUACUAACCAAAUUCACAUCUGCCUGUAUUAAUCUAUUAAGUAGGUUAUCUAUU